GCAGUAUCCUAACUGUGCUAAGGUAGCAUAAUCAUUAGUCUUUUAAUUGGAGACUGGUAUGAAUGGCUUAACGAGAAAUUGACUUUUUUUGCUAUUAUAAUUGAAUUUAAUUUUUUAGUGAAAAAGCUAAAAUGUUUCAGAAAGACGAGAAGACCCUAUAGAGUUUUAUAUAAAUUUAUAUCUUUUCUUAAUAGAUUUAAAAAGAAUAAAUAUAAAUAAGUAUUUUGUUGGGGCGACAUUAAGAUAAAUAAAACUCUUUAUUUUUAAAAAUUUUUAUGAAAAUAUUUAUGAUCCUUUAAAAGAGAUCAAAAGAAAAAAUUACCUUAGGGAUAACAGCGUAAUCUUUUUUUAGAGUUCUAAUCGACAAAAAGGUUUGCGACCUCGAUGUUGGACUAAAAUUUAGGCAGGGUGCAGCAGUUCUGCUUUUAGGUCUGUUCGACCUAUA
rnacentral:rRNA from 1 species